AUCGAACGCUGGCGGCAGGCCUAACACAUGAAAGUCGAACGAGUGGCGGAAGGGUGAGUAAUGUAUGGGAAACUGCCUGACGGAGGGGGUGAACUACUGGAUACGGUAGCUAAUACAGCAUACGAUGAGAUGGGCACAGAUGGGAUUAGCUUGUUGGUGGGGUAACGGCUCACCCAGGCGACGACCCCUAGCUGGUCUGAGAGGAGGACCAGCCACACUGGACCUGAGACACGGUCCAGACUCCUACGGGAGGCAGCAGUGGGGAAUAUUGCACAAUGGGCGCAAGCCUGAUGCAGCCAUGCCGCGUGUAUGAAGAAGGCCUUCGGGUUGUAAAGUACUUUCAGCGGGGAGGCGUUACCCGCAGAAGAAGCACCGGCUAACUCCGUGCCAGCAGCCGCGGUAAUUC
rnacentral:rRNA from 1 species